rnacentral:rRNA from 1 species
GACAGAGGUGCCGAGCGUUAGGCGGAAUCACUGGGCUUAAAGCGUGUGUAGGCGGGCCGUUAAGUAUCUUGUGAAAUCCCCCGGCUCAACCGGGGAAUGGCUGGAUAUACUGGCGGUCUUGAGCGAUCUAGGGGCAGAUGGAACAAGUGGUGGAGCGGUGAAAUGCGUAGAUAUCACUUGGAACGCCAAAGGUGAAAACAGUCUGCUGGGGAUCUGCUGACGCUGAGACAUGAAAGCCAGGGGAGCGAACGGG